UACGGGAGGCAGCAGUGGGGAAUUUUGGACAAUGGGCGCAAGCCUGAUCCAGCCAUGCCGGGUGUCUGAAGAAGGCCUUCGGGUUGUAAAGGACUUUUGUUAGGGAAGAAAAAGGAGCGGUUAAUACCCGUUUCUGCUGACGGUACCUAAAGAAUAAGCACCGGCUAACUACGUGCCAGCAGCCGCGGUAAUACGUAGGGUGCGAGCGUUAAUCGGAAUUACUGGGCGUAAAGCGGGCGCAGACGGUUACUUAAGCAGGAUGUGAAAUCCCCGGGCUCAACCUGGGAACUGCGUUCUGAACUGGGUAGCUAGAGUAUGUCAGAGGGGGGUAGAAUUCCACGUGUAGCAGUGAAAUGCGUAGAGAUGUGGAGGAAUACCGAUGGCGAAGGCAGCCCCCUGGGAUAAUACUGACGUUCAUGCUCGAAAGCGUGGGUAGCAAACAGGAUUAGAUACCCUGGUAGUCCACGCCCUAAACGAUGUCGAUUAGCUGUUGGGCAGCUUGACUGCUUAGUAGCGUAGCUAACGCGUGAAAUCGACCGCCUGGGGAGUACGGUCGCAAGAUUAAAACUCAAAGGAAUUGACGGGGACUCGCACAAGCGGUGGAUGAUGUGGAUUAAUUCGAUGCAACGCGAAGAACCUUACCUGGUCUUGACAUGGUACGGAACCUUCCAGAGACGGAAGGGUGCCUUCGGGAACCGUAACACAGGUGCUGCAUGGCUGUCGUCAGCUCGUGUCGUGAGAUGUUGGGUUAAGUCCCGCAACGAGCGCAACCCUUGUCAUUAGUUGCCAUCAUUCAGUUGGGCAUUCUAAUGAGACUGCCGGUGACAAGCCGGAGGAAGGUGGGGAUGACGUCAAGUCCUCAUGGCCCUUAUGACCAGGGCUUCCCACGUCAUACAAUGGUCGGUACAGAGGGUAGCCAAGCCGCGAGGUGGAGCCAAUCUCACAAAACCGAUCGUAGUCCGGAUUGCACUCUGCAACUCGAGUGCAUGAAGUCGGAAUCGCUAGUAAUCGCAGGUCAGCAUACUGCGGUGAAUACGUUCCCGGGCCUUGUACACACCGCC
rnacentral:rRNA from 1 species